rnacentral:tRNA from 1 species
GCCCGGGUGGCGGAAUCGGCAUACGCAGCUCCCUUAAAAGGAGCCGCCGGCGACGGCUUGUGGGUUCGAGUCCCACCCCGGGCACCC